AGUGAACGUUGGCGGCGUGGAUUAGGCAUGCAAGUCGAGCGAGAACCGUAGCAAUACGGGGACAGCGGCGAAAGGGACAGUAAUGUGUAGGUACCUACCUCCGGGUUCGGGAUAGCUGCGGGAAACUGCAGGUAAUACCGAAUAACGUCUCCGGACCAAAGGUGUGAUUCCACCUGGAGAGGGGCCUGCAUCCUAUUAGCUAGUUGGGGAGGUAACGGCUCACCAAGGCGACGAUGGGUAGCGGGUGUGAGAGCACGACCCGCGUCGUUGGGACUGAGACACUGCCCAGAAACCUACGGGUGGCUGCAGUCGAGGAUCUUCGGCAAUGGGCGCAAGCCUGACCGAGCGACGCCGCGUGCGGGAUGAAGGCCUUCGGGUUGUAAACCGCUGUCGUAGAGGAGGAAAUGCAGGGGGGUUCUCCCCUCUGCUUGACCUAUUCUAGGAGGAAGGACGGGCUAAGUUCGUGCCAGCAGCCGCCGUAA
rnacentral:rRNA from 1 species